AGUACAAGGUGCCUUUUACAAAAGGAGAAUAGGGAAUGAAGUGAAAAUCUUCAGCGGACCCGCCACUGUAGAGGGGAGUUUGAUUGAAAAUGCCACUGGACAAUGUCUGGGAAGGUUCAAUCGAAUGUUGACCUUGAGCCAGGAGACCUGCCUUGAUACU
rnacentral:ncRNA from 1 species